GCCGAGCUUUGUUCCGUAAGCUUGUAACUCGAGGGAGGGCAUAUAAGAAAAUGGAACAUGAGCCUAUAUUUCUUGGCCGGGUCUAAUAGGGCUUCAUUCUGGACAGUCCUUUCAAGCAAGGAGAUGGGCUGUAUGGUUUGGGCGUAAGCCCAGAAGGCACAGCCUUUAAAGCGGAGGGGAAUGCGUCAGGCUGGCUCACAGAGCAACGACAACCUCCCGCUCUUUGCGGUGAAUGGAAAUCUGACCGGUGCCUGUUGGGCCCACUGGGUCAAGAGAUUGGACUUAAUGGACCAUUUCCCUU
rnacentral:SRP_RNA from 2 species